UAAUGAACAUUGUUCGUGUCGAGACCAUCCUCCUUUACUCGGUCCUCCUUCUCGCAGUCAUCGAGUUGACUUAUUCGCGCUCAUUGUCGCCAUUCCAAGUCCCGGGGGGGAAGAGAGAACGAGAGUGCGACGCUGGCUAACCAGGAAAGUCGAGGAGGCUUCGACCUAGGAAUUUAUCACCGCUACCGACAGCCAUUAAUAUGGCAUUGUGCGGCCGCGGACACCGGCAGUGGCUCGUCCAUCUUUUCGUGACGCGUUAACGACUGACCUUAACGGCCAAGGACAGCUUCUCGAGCUACGUGGUACACGCAAUUGUCACCACCGACUCGCGAUCCAGAUUCUCCUUCAUCCAAUCGUCGUUCGUCUCUCUCUCUCUAUAAUAGAUACGCGAAGAUCGAUCGAGUAUCUUUUUACACGGUCGAUUCGAACAAAUUUACAUUUAGAGAUUUAUAAAAAAUCGGGGAAACGACGAUCAUUUACUACUUUCGAUGUGUAAUGGGAUUCCGAUUGAAUGACAGGUUGCUGUAAUCUGUUAAUCGCAAUUGUCGAAGAAAUCUUUAUUGGUGAAUGUAUUUAUAGCGUAUUCGUUAACGAAUCGAAAAUUCUAUACGGUUUCCUUGUGCGGAACGCUUUAUUGUUCGGUCCGUAGGUCUUCGACAUCAUUACGAUUAAUUGAACGGUUAGAAUCGGAAGAAUCUAACAGACGUAUAUAUAAUCUCUAUUUAAAAGUUGAAGGAUUAAAUAAAAUGGAUUAUUUUGGAAGAGAAAGAGGGAAGAAAUUUAUGCGUAUUAUAUUUAUUUUCGUUGGAAGAAAGCGAUGGCACUUUCAGAUUUUUAUCAGUAUCAAUUUACAAGCAAUACAAAUGAGAUGCGCGGCAUCUCGAUCAUACCGUAAGAUGGGGGUGAAGUCUAUGCGAAAUCCGACAAUUACUAAUUUGCCGAUGCUAGUAUAAGAUAUCCCGAUAAAUCUCGCAUUAUCCUUCGCCCAUUGCUUCGUGUGAGUGCCGUUUAAUGGAGAGAACGUUUACUUAUAUCCGUCUAAGUAUACACAUGGUGUCCUCCAGAAAUCCAUCAUAAUCGUUACCGACUGACGAUAUUCAACUAUCCCUCGCUCUUCCGCCAUUCCAUAAUUUGAUAUAAUCUAACGCGCGAACAAUUUUUUCGCUUAUGCUUAAAAAAAGUUUCGCUUCCUUAUUUAAAUGAAAAUUGAUUUAUUCGAAACGCGUUAUAUUUCAUCGAGUUCACCGUGUAUGCGUGUGUGUUGCACGCGCUUGUCAAGAUCUAUGCGGAAACGCUUAACUUAUGAACUCAUCCGGCGGAUUGCCGGCAAUAUACCACAGGACCACGUGCGGCACACUGAAUAGAAAUGUCUUUGGACCGAACGAUGCGGAUUCCCGCCGUUGGAUCUCUUCGUUUCCUGGAUCAUUGCCAAGGUGAAAACAUCGGUACGUCACAGUCACCGCGCAUGCGAUGAUUAAUGAUCGUUCGACAGUGCGUGGAGCGGAUCGAUGCUUCACUCGCACGUUACGACCAACCUAACCUCUACGUCUCGAGUAAUCCACUGCUACCGAUCGGUACCGCAAACAAAACUGUACUGGGAAUUAUAGUUCGGUGACCUGCUUCCUUAUAUAAUCGUCGAAUAUAUUAACAUGUACUAUUUACAGAGAAUCGAAAACACUUUGCGAAAGGAUUCUUGGAGGAUUCGAAAUUGUUGGAAAGGCAAAAUUCUUGGAAAAACUGCUAUGUUAAAUAUUCACUCGCGUAACACGGAAGUGAAAAAUCACGAUUUAAUGAUUCAUUUUACACGGGAACGAACACCUUCGUGUCGCGAAUCUUACUUCUGCCUCGGUACCUCGUACCUUCUUACGGACAAUAAGAUCUGGCAAGCGGAACAAUGUUUCUGAAUUGCCUCGUUACCGAAACCGUGAAUUACGAUUGCUCCUGCCCUCUCGCGUCGCGGAAGCUUAUUAACAUUUUUUGCUCGGAGCCUUGGCAAAUAAUAACGCUUCAAAAAACGCCGCAUACGAAUUAAAGUCGUUCGAGUAGUCCCGUAUACACGCGCGUACCCGUAUAAAUUGGAGCAUAUAUACGAGUAUCUUUCAAAUCAAUUUUUUUAUAUUUAAAUAGAGAACCGAUAUUAAUUAUUUCUGCACGCGAAUAUGCGUUUCAUUCUCCUCGAAACAAUAGACAAGGAGUAAGCGUCUAAUCUUAAAUCUUUCAGAGAAAAUUGUGUAACUACGCGUGUGUACGGUUGGGAUAAAACGAAUACCGGAAGGAUGUUGCGUAAACGGAAGUGCGUGCGAGGCUUUUUGUUUCUUCCAGCCUUAUUGAGGGAUGCACCUGACAACAAGUUGCCGAUACAAUGGCCCGGCUGGAAGUAGAGUGAAUGGAUAAAGGAUACGAAAAAUUACAAGUCUCCAAGAUCCGGACUUGCGUCAUAUCGUAUCCUGACCGCGGAUAAACGUCGUAAGAACAAUGACCGCCUCGGACAGUGAAAAGAAAACAGCAAACCGCUAAUCGACCAAAAAAGGUAGCAACAAAAGAAGCCUGAUUGGAUCCCUCCAUCUUCUGUUCCCGAUGAAAACCUGCAGGAUACGAAAUCGCAGGAAAAAAUCAAAAAAGAAAGACGCACAGAAGGAGGCUCAUUCAUUUCGUAAUCGCGAAAUCGACAGAAGCGGCAAUCCAAAAGAAAUCUCGAUCCAAAGAUGUUCACACAAUCGCAUAACCAUCGAACCACGUGGAACCCCCGCCCGAGUGGCAAGCGUGCACGUCACGAGGCACGCAAUCCCCAUGGGUCGUCCAUACGCACGAAAAUUAUAACAGACCCCCAAGAUACACUUUCUCUUCUUCUCUCCAUUCCAGCUUCCUCUCUUCUCCGCCAUCUCUCUCUCUCUCUCUCUCUCUCUCUCUCUCUCUCUCUCUCUCUCUCUCUCUCUCUCUCUCUCUGUCGCUGGGGAUACCGGUAAAGAACGCAAGAACGGGAGAAGAAAAAGAUAAGAGGAGGAGUGUUUAAAGGAGGAUUGCUUCCGCAAAAAUCGAGAAUCUUGAGGUGGCAUUCGCUCGGAACUCGUUACACGUUCCGUAUGGCGGGUCCGGUGUGUCGCAGCGUCGGGCUCGAAACUACAGGGUACGGAAACGAAGAGAAGAAAGAACACGUGAUUACACGGGGAGGGGGACCGAUCAUGCAGCGCCAACGUUUCUUCUUCUCCACCGAUCUUAGUCGGAGUGGAGGGGGGAAGGAGGAAAUUUGUAUGGGCCUAAAUUUAGAGAAAGGGAAAACGGUGGAGAGGAGUGGAGAGGAGAGGAAAGGAGAGAGAUUUAACUGUCCGUGGGAAAAUGGAGGAUGGAGAAAGGAAGCGACACCCAAGUGUCUUCCUUCGAACGUGGUGUGAUCGGGAAGAGAUCGGCGAGGCACAUCUGGCGCGCCACAUCCUGGCGGAAAGCACGAGUCAUCGGCGUGGCCUACAAUCGAAAAUGAACCGAGACACUCGCCGUGUCGUGGGAGAUUAAAGGAAAGGGGAGUAUCUUCCGUUCCGAUGAAGACGUUUCCACGCGAUACUUUGUUGUUGCGUUGGGAAGUCGAUCAGUGGGUCUGCCCCAUUGGCUCGCAACAUCAAAGACUUAGCCCUAAAGGGAAGAUUUAGCAUUGUCUAACCGGUAAGCGGCCGUUUAAACACUGGCCUUUAAAAAAGCCCAGUGUUGAAAAGUGUGGCCACCCAGGCGGGGAAAUGAAAACGAAUCGAUUUUUGGAUGAAAAAUAGAAUUUUAAAGGGGUGGGGAGAGAUUCACAUCGUUUUCACGCCAUUCCAAAUCCUUUUCAUUCUUUCAACACGGUACAGUAUCGUUUACAUUCCAAUAUAAAGAUUUAUAUAAUAAUGUAAAAUUAAUUUAAGUAAAAUUUAUAAGCUAAACAAAGUUAACAUACUCUGUUGAUAAAUUAAAAAUUUUUAUAUAAAAUCACAAUAUAUUU
rnacentral:lncRNA from 11 species